rnacentral:rRNA from 1 species
GACGAACGCUGGCGGCGUGCUUAACACAUGCAAGUCGAACGAUGAACCCGGAGCUUGCUCUGGGGGAUUAGUGGCGAACGGGUGAGUAACACGUGAGUAACCUGCCCUGGACUCUGGGAUAAGCGUUGGAAACGACGUCUAAUACCGGAUAGGACCUUGGAUCGCAUGAUCUGGGGUGGAAAGUUUUUUCGGUCUGGGAUGGACUCGCGGCCUAUCAGCUUGUUGGUGAGGUAAUGGCUCACCAAGGCGUCGACGGGUAGCCGGCCUGAGAGGGUGACCGGCCACACUGGGACUGAGACACGGCCCAGACUCCUACGGGAGGCAGCAGGAGGGAAUAUUGCACAAUGGGCGAAAGCCUGAUGCAGCAACGCCGCGUGCGGGAUGACGGCCUUCGGGUUGUAAACCGCUUUUAGUAGGGAAGAAGGGCUUCGGCUUGACGGUACCUGCAGAAAAAGGACCGGCUAACUACGUG